UAUGAGCAUGCAUGCUACCAGGUUCGAUGAAAAAUGUUUUUUAAACUUUUAAAGGUCGAACUUGGAUUUAAGAUUCGAAGGGAAACAACGACGAAUUAUAUAUGAAGGGAGGAAGGGGAGUUUGGGGUGUUGAUUUGGGGUAGUUUGGUGGUGGCGCCGCCAUCGGAAAGAGCAUGGAGUUUUUUGUGGCAACUUAGGGUUUCCUUUUGUCUC
rnacentral:lncRNA from 1 species